UCUCCGUUGGUGAACCAGUGGAGUGAUCAUUACCGAGUUUACAACUCCCAAACCCCUGUGAACAUACCUAUCGUUGCCUCGGCGGUGCCCGCUCCGGCGGCCCGCCAGAGGACCCCCAAACUCUUGUUUUAUACAGUAUCUUCUGAGUAACACGAUUAAAUACAUCAAAACUUUCAACAACGGAUCUCUUGGUUCUG
rnacentral:misc_RNA from 1 species